GUGACUGAACCACUACCAGCGUCGCUGUCAAAAGAAUCGCAGAAGGCCCAGUUAAGAAGAAUGCUGGAAUUACGAGUGAACCCCAUCGACGGUAUAUCCUCCAAAUGGGACUACGACAAUGAUAGAUGGAAGUAACAUACAAGUAAAGUUAUAGAUUUGGCUUGAAAAGCAUCUUCCCUUAUCCGUUACAUGAUUUUGAUCAAGUUUAUAUAUUACAUGACUCGUAAAUUGAUGACCUUCAGCUAUUAAUAUCCUGAUAUAAUUAAGAUUUAUUUGGAAAUUGUAAUAAUGAAGGGCGUUUACAUGUCAACCAACAUGAACUUAGUCAAAAUCAUUUUAUUGAUGAGAGAAGAUGCUUCCUCGGCUGCAUCUUAGACCAUAGGAUUCUUCGUGAUUUGGUAUUAUGUAGUCAUGUAUUUUCUCCUUAUAUUUCAAUAAAAUUACGUUCUUUUUUGGA